AGUCGACUCCUACGGGGAGGCAGCAGUAGGGGGAAUAUUGCACAAUGGGCGCAAGCCUGAUGCAGCCAUGCCGCGUGUGUGAAGAAGGCCUUCGGGUUGUAAAGCACUUUCAGUCGUGAGGAAGGUAGUGUAGUUAAUAGCUGCAUUAUUUGACGUUAGCGACAGAAGAAGCACCGGCUAACUCCGUGCCAGCAGCCGCGGUAAUACGGAGGGUGCGAGCGUUAAUCGGAAUUACUGGGCGUAAAGCGCAUGCAGGUGGUUUGUUAAGUCAGAUGUGAAAGCCCGGGGCGUCAACCUCGGAAUUGCAUUUGUAAACUGGCAGACUAGAGUACUGUAGAGGGGGGUAGGAAUUUCAGGUGUAGCGGUGAAAUGCGUAGAGAUCUGAAGGAAUACCGGUGGCGAAGGCGGCCCCCUGGACAGAUACUGACACUCAGAUGCGAAAGCGUGGGGAGCAAACAGGAUUAGAUACCCUGGUAG
rnacentral:rRNA from 1 species